AUACAGAGGUGGCAAGCGUUGUUCGGAAUUACUGGGCGUAAAGGGCGCGUAGGCGGCCUUCUAAGUCGGACGUGAAAGCCCCAGGCUUAACCUGGGAACUGCGUCCGAUACUGGGAGGCUUGGAUUCGGGAGAGGGAUGUGGAAUUCCAGGUGUAGCGGUGAAAUGCGUAGAUAUCUGGAGGAACACCGGUGGCGAAGGCGGCAUCCUGGACCGAGAUCGACGCUGAGGCGCGAAAGCUAGGGGAGC
rnacentral:rRNA from 1 species